rnacentral:rRNA from 1 species
UACGUAGGCAGCGAGCGUUGUUCGGAAUUACUGGGCGUAAAGAGUGUGUAGGCGGUGUUCCCAGUCUGUUGUGAAAUCUCCCGGCUUAACUGGGAGGGUGCAGCGGAAACUAGAAUGCUAGAGGGUGGGAGAGGUAAGCGGAAUUCCUGGUGUAGCGGUGAAAUGCGUAGAUAUCAGGAGGAACACCUGUGGUGUAGACAGCUUACUGGACCACUUCUGACGUUGAGACACGAAAGCGUGGGUAGCAAACAGG